GGGCUCACACAAGCGGUGGAGGAUGUGGCUUAAUUCGAGGCUACGCGAAGAACCUUAUCCUAGUCUUGACAUGUAUGGAUUAACCCUGUGAAAGCAGGGCCACGCCUUCGGGUGGAACAUACACAGGUGCUGCAUGGCUGUCGUCAGCUCGUGUCGUGAGAUGUCGCGUUAAGUCGCUUAACGAGCGAAACCCUUGUCUCUAGUUGCCAGCGCGUAAUGGCGGGACUCUAGAGAGACCGCCGGCGUUAAGCCGGAGGGAAGGUGGGGAUGACGUCAAGUCCUCAUGGCCCUUAUGACUAGGGCUGCACACGUCCUACAAUGGCUAGGACAGACGGCCGCAAACCCCGCGAGGGGGAGCC
rnacentral:rRNA from 1 species